CCUACGGGGGGCAGCAGUGGGGAAUAUUGCGCAAUGGGCGAAAGCCUGACGCAGCGACGCCGCGUGAGGGAUGAAGGUCUUCGGAUCGUAAACCUCUGUCAGCAGGGAAGAACGGUCACUGUGCUAAUCAGCCGUGAAUUGACGGUAUCUGCAAAGGAAGCACCGGCUAACUCCGUGCCAGCAGCCGCGGUCAUACGGAGGGUGCGAGCGUUAAUCGGAAUUACUGGGCGUAAAGCGCUCGUAGGCGGUAUGUCAAGUCAAGGGUGAAAUCCCCGCGCUCAACGUGGGAACUGCCUGUGAAACUGGCAAACUGGAGUGUGUGAGAGGAUAGUGGAAUGUCAGGUGUAGGAGUGAAAUCCGUAGAUAUCUGGAGGAACACCAGUGGCGAAGGCGACUAUCUGGCACAUAACUGACGCUGAGGAGCGAAAGCGUGGGUAGCAAACAGGAUUAGAUACCCCGGUAGUC
rnacentral:rRNA from 1 species